GGGGAAAUUGACUCCUUGGUCUCCCCAAACUUUUUGUUUUAUGUACUUAACUUUAAAAUGUGAGUUUGAGUUCUCUUUUGUGGAAACUUAAGAUGUGGUGUAAAUGAUUUUUUUCCAAAAUUGUCCAGCAACUUUAAUGAGGCAGUGACAAUUCAUAAGUAGUUUAUUGGGAGUCCUUCUACAUUUCUGCUUAGAUAACUACAGUCUGGGUGGCUAUCGUAUAGCCUCACUGUCCCAGCAUACCUAGUUAGCCAUUUCCCCUCUGAUAGGAAUAUUUCAUAAGAAUCAACUGAUAACUUGGAGUUCAGGACCUCAUUAUCUGGGCCCUUGGGAAACAC
rnacentral:lncRNA from 1 species